AAGUGUGUUCAACACUUUUGGAAACUAAGCAACUGUGCCUAGAGGUUAUUACCUGCCCAGUGACUCUAGCCCCUGCUUCAAUUUCAGAUGGCUAAACCAUGAGAAUGUUGUUUGAACUUAAAAUUUCACCAUAUUAUUCAUAACCCAUAUUUUCAAAGUGAGAAGCUAAAGUCAGUGUAAAGACCCCGUGUCACACAGUAGAUAGGAGCAUGGACUCCACAGCCAGUAUCUCCGAAUUCAAAUCCCAACUUUGCUAUUUGACUCUAUUUUCCCGUUUAUAAAAUGUGCAUAAUAAUAUUGCCUCCAGCACAGAAUUGAUAUGGGGACUCUGUAAUGUAGAAUAGUGCUUGGCAAAUAUAAUGUGCUUCAUAAGCAUUUGCUGAACUGAAAUAAAAUAGAAGCGAAACAAAACAAAAUAAAUCAAAUGCGCUCAAGGCUUUUAUUACCGCAACUGUUUUCACAGGCAUUCUAAUCAAGUAUCUAAGACUACGAAUAGGUGGUCUUAGAGCUUUUGCACCAAGAUCAGUACUACAAGUUUUUUAUGUUCCAAUAAGAUUUGAAUCUUUUCUAUUUUUACCUUCUCGUCCCCAACAAACCACUUCCUGGGAUUCAUUUUUAUUAGCAAUCAAACAUGUGCUGCUCUAUUACAUAUAGAAUUUAAUCAAUUAAUGGAGUUCAACAAGCCAUUUCCAGUUGCAGUAUUUUGAGAGGCUAAUUUGCAAACACCUGAAUACCUUGGGAGAAUAUGGAACAGCCUGAAGUUAGAGCACAUGCUUAAUCUCAGUGGACUGAAGAGAGAAUGAUCAGUACGUAAGUAUAAUCUUUUACUCACCAAAUGUCUUAGGACAGAUGCUAAUCCCCUAAUGACUCAUGUCUUUAUCUUAAAUUUACAUUUCCAAGCUGUUUUCAAAAACAAUUUUGCAGAAAAUUUGUUCAUGGCUCUAGUGAUGUCAUGUAUACUAGCUUCCUUCUUUACCAUGUCCAUGCCCUUGUUCACAUUUGCAGGAAUAAACAACUAUUUAUGAUAAAAACCAUUCAUCAUUCAAACAAAAUAGUAUAGAAACACCAGCAGGAGCAACAUCAAAAAGCAAAACGAAAUUUAAAAAGGAAGUAUGUGUAUGUGUUUGUGUGUUUGUAUAGAGGCAAGAAUAAUUGUUAAUUCUCAGCCAUUUUUGUAUUGUAAAGAGUGCUUUAUUCUAAUAUUCAUAGAACACUUAGCAGAACUGAUCUUUUUAUAACUAAUUCACGUUGAAAAAUAUGAUUUAAUUGAUUCAUAUUAAAAGUUAUCUAGUGGAGUUACCGCCAUGGCGCAGCGGAAAGGAAUCUGACUAGGAAUCAUGAGGUUGUGGGUUCGAUCCCUGGCCUCACUCAGUGGUUUGAGGAUCUGGCGUUGCCAUGAGCUCUUGUGUAGGCCGCCGACACGGCUUGGAUCUGGCGUUGCUGUGGCUGUGGCAUAGGCUGGCAGCUAUAGCUCCGAUUAGACCUCUAGCCUGGGAACCUCCAUAUGCUGUGGGUGAGGCCCUAAAAAAGACAAAAAAUAAUAGUUAACUAGUUGUGAGUUACCAUUGUGGCUCAGCGUUAAUGAACCUGACUAGUAUCUAUGCGGGUGUGGAUUCAGUCCUUGGUCUCACUCAGUGGGUUGAGGAUCUAAGGUUGCUGAAAGCUGCGCCAUGGAUCUGGUAUUGCUGUUGCUGUGGCAUAUAGGCUGGCAGCUGCAACUCCCAUUUGACCCCUAGCCUGGGAGCUUAAAUAUUCUGCCAGAGCAGCCCUAAAAAGAGAAAAAAAAA
rnacentral:lncRNA from 1 species